UCUUACUGAUGGAGAUCAAAAUCUGAGCAUUAGAACAUCUGCCAGGCUACCUGUUGCAUGAUCUUCAUCAUUCUGAGA
ensembl:snoRNA